AUGUUGAUCAAUUUCUCCCUGUUUCUUCCCACAUUAACCACGCUGUCUGUGUUUGCAAGUUCCCUGUCCGAGCCUAUACUGACGCAGCCGUCCUUCAUCUCUGCAUCUCUGGGAGCAAUAGCCAGACUCACUUGCAACUUCAGCAGUGACUUCAGUGUUGGCAGCUACCAAACAUUCUUGUACCAGCAGAAGCCAAGGAGCCCUCCUCAGCAUUUUCUGAGGUUCUACUCAUACUUAAAUAAGCAGCAGAGCUUCAGGGUCCCCAGCUGCUUCUCUGGAUCCAAAGAUACUUCAGCCAAUGCAGGGCUUCUGCUCAUCUCUGGGCUGCAGCCUGAAGACGAGGCUGAUGCUUACUGUGCUAAAGGUCAUGGCAGUGGGAGCAGAUACACUUAUCCAUAG